UGGGGAAUAUUGCACAAUGGGCGCAAGCCUGAUGCAGCCAUGCCGCGUGUAUGAAGAAGGCCUUCGGGUUGUAAAGUACUUUCAGCGGGGAGGAAGGGAGUAAAGUUAAUACCUUUGCUCAUUGACGUUACCGACAGAAGAAGCACCGGCUAACUCCGUGCCAGCAGCCGCGGUAAUACGGAGGGUGCAAGCGUUAAUCGGAAUUACUGGGCGUAAAGCGCACGCAGGCGGUUGAUUGAGUCAGAUGUGAAAUCCCCGGGCUUAACCCGGGAAUUGCAUCUGAUACUGGUCAGCUAGAGUCUUGUAGAGGGGGGUAGAAUUCCAUGUGUAGCGGUGAAAUGCGUAGAGAUGUGGAGGAAUACCGGUGGCGAAGGCGGCCCCCUGGACGAAGACUGACGCUCAGGUGCGAAAGCGUGGGGAGCAAACAGG
rnacentral:rRNA from 1 species